GUAAGAUAAAGGGAUAAUGGUGUUCUCCAGUAGGUGAAAAGACAUGGGACACAGUGUACAAGCUGGCCUUAGAUCGGACCACAGACUGUUCACCCAGAGUUCCAGAAGGAGGCAAAGUAUUUGGGAAGAGAAACAGGUGGGUGGAUGCAGAAGUGGCAGUGUGUGGGAUUUCUCUUCUGGUUACUUCAACUUGCACCAUGAAAUGGGAAACGAAGCACUCAGCUGAGAAUCAGGAAGGGAGAGAAUGUGACGGAAGGUUGAAGAGAGAAGAGGAGGGGUACGACAGCCAUCUAAAAGGUCCCAAGGAUACAGAAACAAAGACCAGAGGACCAUAUAUCUAACGUCUUGCAGAUAAUAGGAAUGGGGCUGGGGUUCACGGGGCUCAAGCCCAUUUCAACCACCACCCUGAGCCCGGACUCGUGACAAAGAGAAUGAGGUGGCUUUGCUAAGGCUCUCCUUUGCCUCUGAGGUGUGGCACAUGCUGGCCCCCCUCAAGAAAGUUCUCCCAUGCUCCACCAUGGCAGCCACCAUUCGCCCUUCCAAGCUGUUCGGUCACUGUCUCCUCCGGUCCACCUUUACCAACUGUACUCCUUCCCGUUCGUCGCCCAAUCCUGGUGGUUCAUGUAGAUAUUCAUCCUCUUCCAGCAUGAUCUUCAAAUAUCUUUGCUUUGAUCACCUAAAAUCAUUUUAAAGUUUAUUUAUUUAUUUAU